AUUUUUAGUAGAGACGGGGUUUCACCGUGUUGGUCAGGAUGGUCUCCAUCUUCUGACUUUGUCAUCCGCCUGCCUCCAAAUCCCCAAUUUUAAUGUGCAACCCCGAUACUCAGAAAUAAAUGUAAAAUAUAUAGGAAUAAUAUUAAGAAUUAAAUAAUGGGGCUGUGUGUGGUGGCUCGCCCCUAUAAUACCAGUUACUUUGGGAGGCCAAGGCAGGAGGAUCACUUGAGCCCAGGAGUUAGAGAUCAGCCUGGGGAACAUAGUGGGACCCCAUCUCUAUUUAAAUUAUGAAAAAUUAAAUUAAAAGAUUAAAUAUUGGAAGAAUCACACAACUCUGAAAAUCACUUCAAAAUGAAGUGUUUUCUAGAAAGUAAAGUUUGGAUUUGUGUAUACACAUUGUUUUCAUUCAAAAACAAAAUGUUCCUAUUAUAUAUAGGUGAAAUGUAUAUUUAUUAAUUUUUAAAAAAGCAAAAUUUUACAGUUUUGUCUAAAUGUCAUUACAAAACUUCUAGAGCAGUCCACUGCAGUGGCUUACACCUGUAAUCCCAGCACUUUGGGAGGCUGAGAUGGGCAGAACACUUGAGGCCAGGAGUUCAAGACCAGCCUGGGCAACACGGUGAAACCCCGUCUCUACUAAAAUUACAAAAAAAAAAAAAAAGAAAAAAUUAGGCAGGUGUGGUGGUCUACUCUUGUAAUCCCAGCUACUAGGGAGGCUAAGGCACGAGAAUCUCUUGAACCUGGGAAGCAGAGCUUGCAGUGAGCCGAGAUCAUGCCACUACAUUCCAGCCUGGGUGACAAAUUGAGGCUCUGUCUCGAAAAAACAAAAACAAAACAAAUACCUCCUAGAGCAGAGCAAAUGCUCUUUUAGAAACACCAUGUAAAGAGCAAAAGUAAAAACAACAACAACAAAAAAGCCUCAGAAACUAGAAACUAAAAAAACCUAAAAAAAAAUAAAGAAAAAAAAAUUUUGAAUUGAUGAGUAAAUGGCAUCCAUAGGCCUGAUUUCACAUAAGGGAUAAUCAGAUCAAUAUAUCACCCAGUCAAUGCCACAGAAUCAGACCGUAUAGUUCAGAGAUCUAAGAUGAAUAAAAGUCUAGAUGGUGAGACAAGAACCGGAUGAAAAGACAGUCAUUUGGCAGCGAGGAGCAAGCGACGGGCCUCAUCCUCACUCUCGCCCGGCUUGUCCUGGGCCCUCCUGCGGCCCUAGGAAUUGCCUGAGGGACAAACAAAGUGGACAAAGUCGCUGACAGACCUGAGUUACUGCCUUGGUCCUGGUGACCCUGCUCCAGGCAGUCCAUCUCUGUCUGCGAUCCAUUGAUCCUGGCGCCACUCCUGGUGCUUCAUUAUCGCCCAGAGGGGCCUCUGGAGUGCAAGCCACAAACAGGGAGACAAACCCAGGGAAGACUCCAUACGGUUCCACAGCAACCAGCCAGUUCUAAAGUCAGCGUCCCUGGCUUCCAGCUCCAACACUGGACAUUCCCC
rnacentral:lncRNA from 1 species